rnacentral:rRNA from 1 species
UACGUAGGGGGGCAAGCGUUGUCCGGAAUCAUUGGGCGUAAAGCGCGUGUAGGCGGCUAGGUAAGUCUGCUCUGAAAGCCCGGGGCUCAACCCCCGGGAGGCGGGUGGAUACUGUCUAGCUCGAGUCCGGAAGAGGAGUGUGGAAUUCCUGGUGUAGCGGUGAAAUGCGCAGAUAUCAGGAGGAACACCAAUGGCGAAGGCAGCACUCUGGGACGUGACUGACGCUGAGACGCGAAAGCGUGGGGAGCAAACAGG